rnacentral:rRNA from 1 species
GAUGAACGCUGGCGGCGUGCCUAAUACAUGCAAGUCGAGCGAACGGACGAGAAGCUUGCUUCUCUGAUGUUAGCGGCGGACGGGUGAGUAACACGUGGAUAACCUACCUAUAAGACUGGGAUAACUUCGGGAAACCGGAGCUAAUACCGGAUAAUAUUUUGAACCGCACGGUUCAAAAGUGAAAGACGGUCUUGCUGUCACUUAUAGAUGGAUCCGCGCUGCAUUAGCUAGUUGGUAAGGUAACGGCUUACCAAGGCAACGAUGCAUAGCCGACCUGAGAGGGUGAUCGGCCACACUGGAACUGAGACACGGUCCAGGCUCCUACGGGAGGCAGCAGUAGGGAAUCUUCCGCAAUGGGCGAAAGCCUGACGGAGCAACGCCGCGUGAGUGAUGAAGGUCUUCGGAUCGUAAAACUCUGUUAUUAGGGAAGAACAUAUGUGUAAGUAACUGUGCACAUCUUGACGGUACCUAAUCAGAAAGCCACGGCUAACUACGUG